rnacentral:rRNA from 1 species
AUUGAACGCUGGCGGCAUGCCUUACACAUGCAAGUCGAACGGCAGCACGGGAGCAAUCCUGGUGGCGAGUGGCGAACGGGUGAGUAAUGUAUCGGAACGUGCCUUGUCGUGGGGGAUAACGUAGCGAAAGCUACGCUAAUACCGCAUACCAUCUAAGGAUGAAAGCGGGGGAUCGCAAGACCUCGCGCGACAAGAGUGGCCGAUAUCAGAUUAGGUUGUUGGUGGGGGUAAAGGCCUACCAAGCCGACGAUCUGUAGCUGGUCUGAGAGGACGAUCAGCCACACUGGGACUGAGACACGGCCCAGACUCCUACGGGAGGCAGCAGUGGGGAAUCUUGCGCAAUGGGCGAAAGCCUGACGCAGCAACGCCGCGUGGGGGACGAAGGCUCUCGGGUUGUAAACCCCCUUUCAGGAGGGACGAAAUUGACGGUACCUCCAGAAGAAGCCCCGGCCAACUACGUGCCAGCAGCCGCGGUAAU